AUGUCCAAGUCCCCUGUUGUGUCUGAACUUCCAUUUAAAACGAAGAAGUCCGUCCAUGAGGAGGAGACACAGUAUCCCUUCCUGAGCGUGAAGCUGACUCUGGGUGUUGGUUUUGCGGCUGCCCUUUGUCCUUGAUGAUCGUUCUUCUCCUCUUCUGGGGGAGUUAGAGGGAAGGGAUACCAUCUGAGUGGU
ensembl:snoRNA U3 Small nucleolar RNA U3